CAGGAAAAGGGGAAUGUCCAACUUCUUCUGAAAAAGAUGGAGAAGGGGAAGACCAGAGCAAAGACUCUGAAAAUCCUGAAAAUGCCGGUUGUCAUGCUGAGGUAGUGGCACAGCAAAAUGCCACAAACCCACAAACCAGUUCUGGUUAAAGAAGUAAAAAAAAAAAAAAAAAAAAAAAAAAAAAAAAAAAAAAAAAAACUGCUUUCUAAUGUGUCCUGAAGAACAGAAAUGAGGUCACAUUUAAAAUGUUGGCCACCUGUGACUUUUGCUGUAAGCCUUUUUAUUUUGGAUCACAAUGAAUUGGACAUUAAAUAAGAAGUUUUAAGACCAGAUCCAAUAAAAGAAUACAUUUAGGAUGUGUUUUCAAAUUCUGUAUAUAACAGUCACUUUAAAAAUAGUUUCAAGUUAUCUAGAUGCAGUUCCAUAGCAUUUGGUAUUCAACACGUUCUCGUGAGAGAUUCCUGCAGACAUCAAGACCUCUGGUGAUGCGGCAGCACCUGGUUUUUAGACUAGUGAAGGAUGCUGCGUGAGGUGUGCCCAAAUGUUUCCAGAAACUAGUCUGGAUUCCCUGAUUACAGCGCCUCUGUGCUCUUAGCUUUGGUGGCUGCUCUGGCUGGUCCUUCCUUCCCAUUGGUCUGCUGUCCUCGUCUUCCCCACUCUGCUUGCCUGGGCAUCACCAUCUCUCUCAGCCUCCACACGAGUGUUCUAGUACAUGUUAGGAUCCUCUCCUGUACCAGUGUCCAGGUGUAACAGACAGGAUUUUUACUAGUCUGAUUUCGGGAUUUUUUUUAUGUUCAUAAUAAUAAAAAUAUUCUCAGUAUUGUUUAGAAAGGAUUUUUUUGUGUGUAUGUGAAAAAAGGAACAAAAAUAGACUUGUUUUUUGGUGGCUGUUCUAUACAAAAUUGAUAGUUGAUCAUGGAUGCACAUCACUGAGGAAUAUUAUAAAAAUCACAAAAAAUUAGUCAUUUUGAAAAGAUGACUCUUUAUAUUGUCAACAAGCAAAUUGUCCUUUGACCCAUUAGUGUAGUGAUGCCCUGAGGCCUAUGCUGAUGUCACCAGUCCACGGUGUCUAUACAUGUCUAUGCAUCUUCAUGUAUCAUGUGUAUGUUCAUCUCAUCUUCAUGCACUGUGUCUAUGUUCAUCUUCCAGUAUUGUGUGUGUAUGUUUAUCUUCAUGUAUUAUAUGUGUAUAUUUAUCUUCAUGUAUUGUGUGUAUAUGUUUAUCUUCAAGUAUUGUACAUUCAUCUUCCAUUUGCCAUUUGAAAUUGAGAACAGUUUGAAGUUAUAUAUACCGACUUUAAGUAAAUAUUAGAUUUGCAUAGCAUUGGUUGAAAGUUUUAUUUUCUACAGUGUUAUUGUUAAUUAUUAGUACAAAUCAGAAGACAAUCAGAAACACUGUGAUAGCAACUUCAGAACAUUCAUACAGACAAAAUGAUGAACAGAAAAUAUUUUUACUUUUUUUUUUAACUGAGCAAAGAACUGACUUAAAAAAUCUCUCUUCAGCUUUUCAGAAAAGCCCCAUAUGUUUUCCCCCACCCCACCCGCACACCCCAGGGAACGUUUCCUAUUUCCUUUUCGUAGUACAUAUAAUCGUCUUCUUGGCUUCUUCAGCCCACAACUUUCAGUGGUGAUUCCUACAAAACACUCCCACUAUUCUUAGGUUAGGUUUUUAGAAAUAAGAUUUUAUUGUUUAUUGUUCGAUAUACACAGCCCAGUUAUUUAUCCCUACUUUAUUUGUGCACCAUAGUGGCACAAAUAUGAUACAUACUUAUUUGUGAAUCAUAUCCCUGUAAGUAAGACAAGAAACACUUCCUCAUUCUAGGUACAUAAUACACCAGCUUUAGCUUGUACCGAUUUGUGAGGUGUUAAGAUUUUGAGGUAGUAAUCUUGGUUUAAAUUCGGUUUAAUGCAAGGAGUUCAUGGGCUCUCUUAUGUGGUAUUUGUAGCAACAGUCUAAAGAUCUUAGUAGACAUUUAUACAGGGUUCAGGAAUGAGAGAGGAUUGCCAACUCAGGAUGAGUUGUAGGGAUAUGAGCAAUUAAAUAAUAUAUUACUUUUGAACACACAAUGAAACAUUCAGACCAUGUUAAAGGUAUUUAGUAUAAAAACAUGGGACUAGGAGACUAGAGAGAUGACUCGGUGAUAAAGAGCUCUUGUUGCUCUUCCAGAGGACCAGGGUUCAACUCUCUGUGCCUAUAUGGAGAGAUCACAAUAGCCUCUACUACCAGGAGAUCUGGCUCCCUGCUCUGGCUUCUGGGGGCAGUGGGACCUGCAUGCAUGUGGUGCACAUACAUACACACUCAAGCGCAUACAUACACAGAAAUAACUUUUUAAAAUAGACAUGGAGUCAGAUACUAAAAAUAUUUUUUCUUAAAAACCAAGCUACCAGAUACUAAAGUUAAUACAAUACAAAUUACUUAGAAGUUACAGUAUGCCAGAACCCUUAGAAAUAAAAACACUUAACAAUUUAGAUUCUAGAGUAUUAUUCCUUAUUAGUGGUGUUGUUAGGUUAUGCUAUUUAAUUUGAGAAUACUUAGUCUCUAGAGGAGUACACCCUGGCUUUCAUCCAAAAUAGUGGCCUUUUUCUUGCAGCAGUUAUUUAAACUGCGUCCUCGUAACAUGACAACGUUUCCUACAUUUAAUCUGUAAAUAGCAGAGAAAAUAGUGAAGAACAAGUUGAAGUAAGUCAUUCCUCAUGCUGAUAAAAAUUGAGCAUCUCGAAUUUUUUCUAUUAAGAGCACUUUGUACAUUUAAUAGUUUUUUAACAUCAGAUCUAUAGACGAUGUGUUUAUGUGUGUGUUCGCUAUCAAGCAGUGGUCCAAAUUUGACUUAGCUGUUUUGUGUUUCUCCAACCAUCAUAUGCUUACAGUAAUUGACUGAGAAGCUGUUCCAGGAGAUGCUGUGCAGCAUGGCCAAGUAGUUAGAUGCAUUGCUGAGCAUCCACAGGUGUUUUCAUGUGGUCUUUGUUGUACCCAAAGCGGCAAGGAUACAAAGUAUCAACUGUCGAUAAAAUUGCAUUUCACAACAAAUAGAUGCUAUAUUGCUUGAUUAGCUUGGUGCAGUUCUAAUAUUUUUUUUUUGCUUUCAUAUUUCAGAGGAGAAAAUAUAUGUGAAGAUAUUUUGAAAUACUAUAAAGUGAUAAAUAGUUCUAUAUUUCUGUAUGGUGGAGAUGUUUCUGACAUUAAGAUUAUUGUAUUGUUCUGUGUUUUCCAGAUCAUUCUCAUAGGAAAUUUUAAAUGAUCAUGACUUGAAAAAAAUAAUAUCUGCUUUCUCUAAAUCGAGGCUUAUUGUCAGUUCUAAAAUUAAAUUGUAGAGUUUUAUUUUGUUUAGGUUUUGAAAUUAUAAUUUUUAGUUUUAAGGAAUGAAGACCUACAACUCAGGAGUUACUAAGAAAGUUUUAAGACUUGUUUUUUGAUGUUACAUAUAUAAAUAAAUGAAUGUGUAAUAAAAACCUGUCAUAGCC
rnacentral:lncRNA from 1 species